CCUACGGGUGGCACCAGUGGGGAAUAUUGGACAAUGGGGGCAACCCUGAUCCAGCCAUGCCGCGUGUGUGAAGAAGGCCCUCGGGUUGUAAAGCACUUUCAGUGAGGAAGAACGCCUGGUGGUUAAUACCCAUCAGGAAAGACAUCACUCACAGAAGAAGCACCGGCUAACUCCGUGCCAGCAGCCGCGGUAAUACGGAGGGUGCGAGCGUUAAUCGGAAUUACUGGGCGUAAAGCGCGCGUAGGUGGCUUGAUAAGCCGGUUGUGAAAGCCCCGGGCUCAACCUGGGAACGGCAUCCGGAACUGUCAAGCUAGAGUGCAGGAGAGGAAGGUAGAAUUCCCGGUGUAGCGGUGAAAUGCGUAGAGAUCGGGAGGAAUACCAGUGGCGAAGGCGGCCUUCUGGACUGACACUGACACUGAGGUGCGAAAGCGUGGGUAGCAAACAGGAUUAGAUACCCUUGUAGUC
rnacentral:rRNA from 1 species